rnacentral:rRNA from 1 species
UCUCUCAGGAAACUGGUUGCCCACUGAAGCUAAGCAGGGUUGAGCCUCAUCAGUACCUGUAUGGGAGACCUCCUGGGAAAACUAGGU